ensembl:lncRNA
CGGGGGCCCCGCGGCUCCGUGCUGAGGGUCGGCGCCCGUGCAGCGCGAGCAGCGCGGCCGGGGCCUGCAGAAAGUUUCCGCGGCGGCAGGUGGACGGCAGGCUGGGACCUGUUGCAAUUCCUGAUCGUUCUGGCCGCGUUUCAUCAAGCAGUUGUGACUUGAGAACUGUCCCGGCCCUCGCGCCCCAUAACCACGCGGUUUCCUUGGCCUCCUUUGGCGCUUACGUCCCUUCUCGUCCCCCAGCAAGCUUCCUGCACGGCGAAACCGAGCCGCGUUUUGCGCCCCGUCGGGCGGCGGAAGGGUUAAGUCCCGCUGCGCUGAGCGUUUCGGCGCUCGUUGGCUGCCGGCCCAGCGCUCUCGGUGCCGUAUUGCAUCAGAGCGGGCAGGAGCACCUCGCUGCGCUCCCCCUCUGCGCGCUGUACUUGGAGCGCUUCGCCGUUUCCCACGGCAUGUUAAUUUUUUCCCUCCGUGGUCUCCAGGAUUCCUUCUCACGGGUUUCUUGGAGGAUGUUCUGCCCCGCUCCUCCCACCCAGGUUGAGGGCAGGGCGCCGCUCCGCUCUGCCCUACGCCGGGCGCCUGGAGCCCAUCUUUGCACCUCCGGCACACGGCGAGCCCUCGGUGCCGAAACGCUCCCCGCUCGGUGUCGAAACGUCGCCGCAGAGCAGUCCCGUGCGUUGCCCAGCGAGGUUCCCACCUUUGUCCCAGAUGACUGCAGAGGUCUGGCCAGGAUGUGUGCUGUCUUCCUGUGGUGUUGCAUAGCGCUCAGCGCAGCGAAGCUUCCCUCUUGAUGGAUGCCUUAGAGAUCCCACGUAAGCAAUAAUUCCUGUAGCUCAUUUACCUGCUCGUCAUAAUAAACUAGAAAGUAAGAACGCCACAAAAGACACUGAAGGAAAGCACUGUGGGCAUCACAUUCACAUCUGAUUUAACCAGCGACUCUCCCCAUCCUUCAAUCCUGAGCUGAAUACAAAAAGGACAACAGCUUUCCAGGUAGAGCGAUGUGAUAAAACAGGUGAUUUCUAAAAGCAAGUAAAGAACCCUAAAUUGUUGCCGCUCACCUUGGUAUUCAAAACUCAAAACCUCCACUCAAGAUCUCCUAAGAUGCAAAGUGAUCUUUACCACAGUUGUACAAGACAGAUCCCUGGCUGUUCCUGUGGCACCGUACAUCCUGUGCCAUCUCAGGAGCUGGCUUGGGGCAAUCCGAACUGAUCAGAACGAUGCUGCGAAGAAGGGUGGACAAGCUGCAGUGAACG